CGGUCGCCGUGCCUUUAGCUCCGGGAGGAGCUCGAGCGUGUCCUCGUCGUCUCCGCGAGCCUCCUCAAUAGCCGAAAAUGUCUCAAUGUGCCUUUUCAAUGGGGAUUGGUUUUUUUUUUUUUUUUUUUUUUCCUUCGGCGGAUGACGUUGUAAAUAUGUUGGUGUCUGACAUUCAAACCAGCGGCGCAACGUGACCACGAGGCCGCAUCGAUUGAAAAACGCCCCGGUGUGACCGUUUGGAAGGAGUCGUCCCAUAGAAGCCACGUGGCGGCGCACGUGGUAACUUUUUUUUUUUUUAGAGCAGUUUACCAAAACCUUGACUUCAGUUUUGGAUCAAGAAUAACCUAAAGGUGAGUUGUACAGAAUUAUGUUUUUAAUUUUUGAAUGAGAUGUGCCAACUUCUUGCCCCCCCCCCCACUAUCAAACUUCAAUAAAGCACAUUUUCCAACUUCUGCAUGUGUCUGAUUUU